ACUAAUAUAGUUUAAAUAAAACAUUACAUUUUCACUGUAAAAUUAAGAUAUUUAAUCUUUAUAAGUA
rnacentral:tRNA from 1 species